AAGAAGUUAGUUAAUCUAUAACAUAUAUUUGUCAUAUAUAAAUUAUCCUAGAUACUUCUUU
rnacentral:tRNA from 1 species